rnacentral:rRNA from 1 species
CUCCGGGAAACCGGGGCUAAUACCGGAUAACAUUUUGAACCGCAUGGUUCGAAAUUGAAAGGUGGCUUCGGCUGCCACUUAUGGAUGGACCCGCGUCGCAUUAGCUAGUUGGUGAGGUAACGGCUCACCAAGGCAAUGAUGCGUAGCCGACCUGAGAGGGUGAUCGGCCACACUGGGACUGAGACACGGCCCAGACUCCUACGGGAGGCAG